rnacentral:tRNA from 1 species
GCGCGUAUAGCUCAGUGGUUAGAGCACCACUCUUAUAAAGUGGGGGUCGAUGGUUCAAGUCCAUCUACGCGCACCA